UACGAAGGGGGCUAGCGUUGCUCGGAAUCACUGGGCGUAAAGCGCACGUAGGCGGCUUUUUAAGUCAGAGGUGAAAUCCUGGAGCUCAACUCCAGAACUGCCUUUGAUACUGGAGAGCUUGAGUCCGGGAGAGUGAGUGGAACUGCGAGUGUAGAGGUGAAAUUCGUAGAUAUUCGCAAGAACACCAGUGGCGAAGGCGGCUCACUGGCCCGGUACUGACGCUGAGGUGCGAAAGCGUGGGGAGCAA
rnacentral:rRNA from 1 species